UUUGACGGCUACCUGACCUGCCAAGGAAGAGGAUUUUUGGGGGCUACCUGACCAGUCGUUUUCAUUCUCGUCACAACCCUAGCCUUGCAUAAUUCUUUGUGGAGAGGAUUGUUGAAGGGAAGUCUCGCAAGGAAGAGGAAGUUCAGAGAGAGUGAACCGCCUAAGGAAAUCGUAUUCACUACCCAUCCGACAAGAUGAGCAAAACGUGCUAUACACGCACGAGCAGCGGGAUCGGAGAAAAUCAAGAACAUGAUAAUAAGAGAUAUAAACAUAUCGCUCCUUCUGAUCCCAGUCAUAGAGCGGAACUCGUCCGAAGAAUGGAGAUAUUCAAAUCAUUUCCUGUAGGUUCUAAGGAAUUUCAGACUUUCGUCGUGGAACAAGCCGAAAGAUCAGAAGCUAAAGCAAAACAAAGAUUACAAAAAAAAAAAAAUGGAGAAGGCUGAAAUAACAAAGGAUGAAUGGGGGCAGAUAAACAAAGGAAGGGCCGAAUGGGCAAACAGGGAACGCCUACGAAAUGAAGCAUUACAUCAGUACUCGAAGCAAAACCCUGUUGUUGUGAAAUCUUUUGUAUCGGAUAUUGAAAAUCUCAAGGAGGGUGAAAGCCUUUAUGUUUUCUGUUUUGCUUAUGCAAAGAUUCAGAGUACCAAGUACAAGGAAUUUUUUGGGCUCUCUCGCCGACAAUUUCAGCAGAGUUUAUAUUGGAUGUAAUACAGAUCUGUCAAUGGCUUUGAUGUUGUCCGAAACAAGUGAACUCAAACCUGGCCUCCGUCGUAUUAGUAGUGUACAUAAUAUAUGCAGUGUAUCUUAAUGCAGUUUUGACAGCUCAUAAGUUUUAUUGCUGUAUCCCUAUUUGUUGGGGCCUUUUUACUUUCCAGGUGCUUAGUAGUAGGGAUGAUGUUGGUGUACUUGUAACUAACAAAACUGAAGAUCAAAUACUCAGGAAGGGGUGAGCAAGUUUCGUGCUUACGAAGAAUUUGAUUUUGCAAAGCCAGGCAACACACCUAGUGAAACGCUGACGUAUGCUGAAGGUGCUGUGCUGCGUUUACCUACAAACAUCAGUGCAGAAAAAUUGUUUCCCAUUUUACAGGAGCUAGAGAUGCCUGUUAAACUGACUAAUGACGGGCGGGUAAUUGAGAUGACUCAAGCUUAUACUGUUGUAAAGAAAAAAUGCGCGUGACAGAGAAUGCCUCUAAUAUUCUGAAACAUCUCAACAAGAAGAUGUUCAAUUAUACCGUUCUACCAGUUUGCCGCUGGGCUGUCUCCACUGAACAACCUGGAUAUCAUUAUGAAUAUUAUUAUGGUCGUGCUCCCCGACCUUCUAGAGGGUAAUUGGGGAUUUCUGCGUCGGUUUGGAGAUAAGUAGGCUGAUGGUUCAAACGAGGAUCAUGUCAAGGGUGAAGAAUAGUGACUGCCGAUUGGAGUAAGUUGGCCUACUACUGGUUUACAUUAAGGCUAAAUUAAGAACAAUUUUAGUUUUUUCUUGUUUAUUAUGACAUGACAUGGAAGAUAGAGUCUCAAGGUCGGGUCGGACGAUUUGAAAGCCGAGUCUUCGCAUUGUGGUCUAGUUCUUAGUGUUGUCCUUUCCUUAUAUUAUAAUAAGGAAAGUAUGUAAACACUCUCUCGUCUACAUUCGAGUCCCCAACGUUAUUCGACAUUGAGGUUGAUUAUGAUGAUGAUGUCCACAAUGUUCAGAUUAAAGUUAUUUGCAGGGUUUUUUU